UGGGGAAUAUUGCACAAUGGGCGCAAGCCUGAUGCAGCCAUGCCGCGUGUAUGAAGAAGGCCUUCGGGUUGUAAAGUACUUUCAGCGGGGAGGAAGGGAGUAAAGUUAAUACCUUUGCUCAUUGACGUUACCCGCAGAAGAAGCACCGGCUAACUCCGUGCCAGCAGCCGCGGUAAUACGGAGGGUGCAAGCGUUAAUCGGAAUUACUGGGCGUAAAGCGCGCGCAGGCGGUUUGUUAAGUCAGAUGUGAAAUCCCCGGGCUCAACCUGGGAACUGCAACUGAUACUGGCAAGCUUGAGUCUCGUAGAGGGGGGUAGAAUUCCAGGUGUAGCGGUGAAAUGCGUAGAGAUCUGGAGGAAUACCGGUGGCGAAGGCGGCCCCCUGGACGAAGACUGACGCUCAGGUGCGAAAGCGUGGGGAGCAAACAGG
rnacentral:rRNA from 1 species